UUGAUAAUGUCAUAUAUUACAUGAAACUACUGCCUUCAUUCAAACAUUGGGCAUCUUCCCAAAACAAAAAUGAAAACAUUUGAUAGAUUAGCGAUUCAAAGAACUCAAGGACUCAAGGAAGUUAAACCGAAAAACAACUUAUAACCAAUAACUAUCACAUAAGAAAAUGCUUGUAAAUAUGUAAAAAGCGUGUACAUGACAUUUGAAAUAAAUAAAGCGUGUAUUACACAAUUGAAUAGGUAACUAUGGAUACAUGUACUUUUUAUCAUAUAACCAAUUGGAAUGUUACACUUUCAUUUCCCAGUCAAUCAUAUUCAUGUAAUUUUUUAUUCACUCCUUGCAGUGUAAUGCAAGAAAUAUCUCUUAAUGUGAGAAAUAGACAACAUGCUAUAAACAUGAGAAAAUAGAUUUAAUUUUCUAAGGCUUGACACAUUUAUAAAAUGAUCAACAUAGAAUAAAGAAUGGAAACGGGUAAUGUGUCAAAGAGACAACAACCCAACCAAAGAGUAGAAAACAGCCCAAGGCCACCAAUGGGUCUUUAAUGUGCACUAUUAUAUGAUUGUUAUAAGCAAAAAAUAAAUAAGAAUUUAUGUUCUUAUGCCUUCAUUUAUUUUGUAGGCAGAAUUCAGACAGACAGAGAUUCGUCAUUUCAGAUACCAAAUAAAGAAAAUGCUGUUGAGAAACAGGGGAGUUUCUGUGAUUAGAAUGAUACACAAAGAGCAUUUGAGUGUAAUGAAGUUGAGAGUAGUAUUUUAACCAAAAGAACAUCUGCCUUAACAACAGUGAAGGUUUUAGCGAGCAGGUGCUAUUUGGUGAUGUUGAAAGAAAUCCAGGACCUACAAUGGUUUAUCAAGACUAAUCUUAGUGCUUGCCAUUCAAGUGUCAAAGAGUGAAGGGCAAGAAUAAUUUUAAAGAACAGAGAAGACUUGUUUUAUUGCACUUAGUUUUGAGUUUUUGUUUUAUAUUUUACCACUAUGAUAGAGUAAUGUAACAUUCAGGAAAUGUAUUGUUCUGAUA